UACAGAGGUCCCGAGCGUUGUUCGGAUUCACUGGGCGUAAAGGGUGCGUAGGUGGCUGGGAAAGUUUGAUGUGAAAGCUCAGGGCUUAACCCUGAAAUGGCAUUGAAUACUGCCUGGCUGGAGGUUUGGAGGGGGGACUGGAAUUCUUGGUGUAGCAGUGAAAUGCGUAGAUAUCAAGAGGAACACCAGUGGCGAAGGCGAGUCCCUGGACAACACUUGACACUGAGGCACGAAAGCCGGGGGAGCAAACAGG
rnacentral:rRNA from 1 species